GCACUGUCUGUUUCCUGAAGGUUGAGUGUGAUUUCUAAAACACUAAGAAGCCGUGUUUUUUAUUUGUAGUGAUUUUAGGUUUCCUGACUUUCUUAUUCUUUCUCGCAGUUUUUAUCGGAGCUUCUCUAGGAAAAUCUUCCGCAGAGCAGUUUGGUGAGUAAGAAAACUCCUUCUCUGUUGCUUGAAGCUUUCUCAUCUCAUUAUAGUAAAAAAUGCGCUUUAUAUUGAGCCUAGAAAAUUUGCAUGCAUUGUUAGAUUCUUCUUGAUUAUCUUUCUGCUACACUGACGAGGAAAUGUACAAUAAAAGGAUUUUACCUGAAUUUGAAAAUAUCGAACUUGCCAACGUUUGCAUUGGAGUUAGUGAAGCUGUAGUUUUAGCAUUAUACUAUAGAUAUAUUUUGUUUCUUUUUCCCCCUGCUAUGUCGGAACUUUGUUGAUAAUAAAAUCUUCCAUGUUUCUUUUAUCUGGUAUUGCCAGAUGCUAACAGUAUAGGCUGUAGCUCCAUUUCCAUCAAAAUUUCGUUUACAUGUCAUAGUCCUUGCAGAAUUAAAACUAGGGUACCCAUCCCCAAAUUUAUGAUUGUUUCAUCUGAGUUUGUCAUCCUAGCUUCUUUUCUAUAUAUAUAACCCCGUGAUAUUUAACACCUGCUCUUUUCAGCAUGGACUGUAGUUUUUAGCCUGUAAAUUGUCAGCAUAUUUUGAUGAUUUAUUCAUUUGUCAUUUACAUUUAGUUUUGGCUGAUGUUCUAUUGCUUAUUAAUGUUUGUGAUUUUCAUUUAGUAUCUAUACAUCCCCAAAAUUUAUGAUUGUUUCAAUCUG
rnacentral:misc_RNA from 1 species